UACGGAAGGGGCAAGCGUUGUUCGGAAUCAUUGGGCGUAAAGGGCGCGUAGGUGGUUCUGUAUGUCUACCGUGAAAGCGUACGGCUCAACCGUAUUUUGUCGGUGGAAACUGCAGGACUUGAGGCUGGGAGGGGCUGGUGGAAUUCCCUGUGUAGCGGUGGAAUGCGUAGAGAUCCGGAAGAACACCGGUGGCGAAGGCGGUCUGCUGGGCAGUUGCUGACACUGAGGCGCGACAGCGUGGGGAGCAAACAGGG
rnacentral:rRNA from 1 species